rnacentral:miRNA from 1 species
GUGUGGAAGAUGACAGGAGAAAUUUCUCUCUCCUCUUCCUCAG